GUGAACGCUGGCGGUAGGCCCAACACAUGCAAGUCGAACGGCAGCACAGUAAGAGCUUGCUCUUACGGGUGGCGAGUGGCGGACGGGUGAGGAAUACAUCGGAAUCUACUUUUUCGUGGGGGAUAACGUAGGGAAACUUACGCUAAUACCGCAUACGACCUACGGGUGAAAGCAGGGGAUCUUCGGACCUUGCGCGAUUGAAUGAGCCGAUGUCGGAUUAGCUAGUUGGCGGGGUAAAGGCCCACCAAGGCGACGAUCCGUAGCUGGUCUGAGAGGAUGAUCAGCCACACUGGAACUGAGACACGGUCCAGACUCCUACGGGAGGCAGCAGUGGGGAAUAUUGGACAAUGGGCGCAAGCCUGAUCCAGCCAUACCGCGUGGGUGAAGAAGGCCUUCGGGUUGUAAAGCCCUUUUGUUGGGAAAGAAAAGCAGCAGGUUAAUACCCCGCUGUUCUGACGGUACCCAAAGAAUAAGCACCGGCUAACUUCGU
rnacentral:rRNA from 1 species